rnacentral:rRNA from 1 species
UACGAAGGGGGCUAGCGUUGUUCGGAUUUACUGGGCGUAAAGCGCACGUAGGCGGAUCUUUAAGUCAGGGGUGAAAUCCUGGAGCUCAACUCCAGAACUGCCUUUGAUACUGAGGAUCUUGAGUUCGGGAGAGGUGAGUGGAACUGCGAGUGUAGAGGUGAAAUUCGUAGAUAUUCGCAAGAACACCAGUGGCGAAGGCGGCUCACUGGCCCGAUACUGACGCUGAGGCACGAAAGCGUGGGGAGCAAACAGG